AAGUCUGAUGGAGCAACGCCGCGUGAGUGAAGAAGGCUUUCGGGUCGUAAAACUCUGUUGUUGGAGAAGAAUGGUCGGCAGAGUAACUGUUGUCGGCGUGACGGUAUCCAACCAGAAAGCCACGGCUAACUACGUGCCAGCAGCCGCGGUAAUACGUAGGUGGCAAGCGUUAUCCGGAUUUAUUGGGCGUAAAGCGAGCGCAGGCGGUUUUUUAAGUCUGAUGUGAAAGCCCUCGGCUUAACCGAGGAAGCGCAUCGGAAACUGGGAAACUUGAGUGCAGAAGAGGACAGUGGAACUCCAUGUGUAGCGGUGAAAUGCGUAGAUAUAUGGAAGAACACCAGUGGCGAAGGCGGCUGUCUGGUCUGUAACUGACGCUGAGGCUCGAAAGCAUGGGUAGCGAACAGGAUUAGAUACCCUGGUAGUCCAUGCCGUAAACGAUGAAUGCUAGGUGUUGGAGGGUUUCCGCCCUUCAGUGCUGCAGCUAACGCAUUAAGCAUUCCGCCUGGGGAGUACGACCGCAAGGUUGAAACUCAAAGGAAUUGACGGGGGCCCGCACAAGCGGUGGAGCAUGUGGUUUAAUUCGAAGCAACGCGAAGAACCUUACCAGGUCUUGACAUCUUUUGAUCACCUGAGAGAUCAGGUUU
rnacentral:rRNA from 2 species